rnacentral:rRNA from 1 species
GACGAACGCUGGCGGCGUGCCUAACACAUGCAAGUCGAACGGGGUAAAGGGAGCUUGCUUCCUUUGCUUAGUGGCGAACGGGUGAGUAACGCGUGAGGAACCUGCCUUUCAGUGGGGGACAACAGUUGGAAACGACUGCUAAUACCGCAUAAUAUAGUCGGACCGCAUGAUCUGACUAUCAAAGCUUUAUGUGCUGAAAGAUGGCCUCGCGUCUGAUUAGCUAGUUGGUGGGGUAACGGCCCACCAAGGCGACGAUCAGUAGCCGGUCUGAGAGGAUGAACGGCCACAUUGGGACUGAGAUACGGCCCAGACUCCUACGGGAGGCAGCAGUGGGGAAUAUUGGGCAAUGGGGGGAAACCCUGACCCAGCAACGCCGCGUGAAGGAAGAAGGCCUUCGGUGUAAACCUCUGUUGACAGGGACGAAGUAUGACGGUACCUGUCGAGGAAGCCACGGCUAACUACGUG